rnacentral:rRNA from 1 species
UACAGAGGUGCCAAGCGUUAGGCGGAAUCACUGGGCUUAAAGCGCGUGUAGGCGGGUCGUUAAGUGUCCGAGUGAAAUCCCACGGCUCAACCGUGGAACUGCCGGGCAUACUGGCGAUCUUGAGGCAUUAAGGGGCGAGCGGAACAAAUGGUGGAGCGGUGAAAUGCGUAGAUAUCAUUUGGAACGCCAAUGGUGAAAACAGCUCGCUGGGAAUGAUCUGACGCUGAGACGCGAAAGCCAGGGGAGCGAACGGG